rnacentral:lncRNA from 1 species
GUGAGAAACACGCAUCCCUAUACACCAGUGUGCUUGAGAGAAACAAUUUCCUUGGUGAGGAGAGGGUUCAUGUUAAUGUUGAGAACACUUUUGCCAUGUUUGUUGACCCCUUUUAAAACCUGACAUAUUUCUUGUGAUUAUUGUUCUAUGAGCACCAUGGUUGCAAUUCUCUUUGUCAAAGACUCAUCUUCUCAAAAGUGAUUUUACCAUGAAGAGCAAGUUCGAAUAAUUCUUGACUGUCUUGAUUGUUGAUUCAUUGAAAUUGAACUGUUUGUCUAAGCCUUGUUCGCCCUUUUUGCUUGAGGACAAGCAAAGUUUCAAGUUUGGGGUUGUUGAUAACGGUAAUUCUUACCAUUAUCUAUGGUACAUUUUUCAUGCCAAAUCAACACUCCUGAAGCUUUAAACAUGCUUGAUCCUCUUCUUUUAUCCAAUUCUGUGAAUAAAACUUAGCUUAGGUUACACGUUAGUUUUCAUCUCUUUUCCUCAAAUUUUGUAGGAACAUUGCUUGUUUUGGAUAGACAUUGAAGUUUUUGAAGGUGGAGAACCAAGGAAGGCCUACAAGCUGAAAUUUUGAAGUUGUUCUCUG